UACGAAGGGGGCUAGCGUUGCUCGGAAUUACUGGGCGUAAAGGGAGCGUAGGUGGACUGUUUAGUCAGAGGUGAAAGCCCAGGGCUCAACCUUGGAAUUGCCUUUGAUACUGGCAGUCUUGAGUACGGAAGAGGUAUGUGGAACUCCGAGUGUAGAGGUGAAAUUCGUAGAUAUUCGGAAGAACACCAGUGGCGAAGGCGACAUACUGGUCCGUUACUGACACUGAGGCUCGAAAGCUAGGGGAGCGAACGGG
rnacentral:rRNA from 1 species